AGUUACACCAGUAGUACAAGCGGUGCAGGACCCACGAUGAGGCCGUACUAUCUGCAUCGCCGCACGUGACUAUAGACGACUGGUGGAUACUCUGCGAGAGAUUUUCGUCUGAGGCUUUUUAGAAGAGGAGCAGAAUAAAUUCUGCGAAUAGGGAAAAGUUAUAAGUGAACCACGUAACUGGUUCAAAGUCAUUUGUACGACAUUGUUACAACAUGCGAGAUUCUGUCACCGGCCAGGAGCCUGGACUAGUAGACCUCUCUAGAGGGACUCAUCGUCGGCAGGUGAGGGGAUCUUGGGUUCAUCCUAGAGUCAGCGA